rnacentral:lncRNA from 1 species
UUUUAAAAUUUAAAUUCUAAAGCCUAUAGAUCUAUUCUAAUCGAUAAUAAAAUUAUUCUAUAUAUACUCUCAAAAUAUUAUUUUAAAAUUUCGUACUAAUGGAUUAAAUUAUAUUUUAUAAAAACUAAAUUAGUUAAAAAAUAUAUAUUCUAUUUAUUACAUUUUUAAUAUCAUAAACGUUAAUAUUUAUUAUUAUAAUUUGAAGUUAAUAUAUUUCAC